ensembl:antisense C030017D09Rik RIKEN cDNA C030017D09 gene
AAACCUGCUCCUCCAAAGUGUCUGGGAAGCGGCGAGGUACCAAGGUGGCUGGAUUUCCAGACUGUUGAGUGUGCAGGCGGCGUGUCUCCAAGGUCAUCCAUCACCUGUGAGUUUCUGCUAAGUGAGAAAAGCUAGCACACCAUUCUCUCACCUUCUCCAUCCUGGAGCUGAAGCAGAGAAAAAUAAAUACCACUCCAUCUCAAGGCAGAGAAAAUACCACACUCCAUCCCAAGGCCCUGUGACACAUGCAAUUAGAUGCCUUUCCCCAGGCUCUUGGAUUUUCACUCGGAGUUGGCUGGAUGGAGCUGAGACUUCAUGGACAGAAUGUCUGGGGCUGGAGAAGUUGAAGCACAUACUCCAUGAUGACUGUGUCUUCAAUAGGAACCAUCUGACUGUGUGCCAGCAACCUGAGGGCUUUCUUCAUGAGGCUAAUUCUCUAGUCUGCCAAUCUCUCUCUCUCUCUCUCCCUCUCUCUCUCUCUCUCUCUCUCUCUCUCCUCCCUCCUUCCCCUCCUUUCUAUAUAAAUAAUCCAGUGUUGGCUUCUUCAUCUGGAGAAACAAUAGCUCUUUCACACUCUAUAUGUUAACAUGAGUAUGAUAUGAGAAUGAUAUUAUGUGAGAAGAAAAGUUGAUUCUGGAUUUGGUGCGGUUCUAGAUCAUUCUUAUGGUUUGAGUGUGAGUAUGGUUUGGUAGUGUGGAACGUUUAGGAGGUGGGGCCUAGAGGAAGUGAAUCUCUGAGAACUCCCAGCUUAUCUCCCUCGGCUCCCUGACUGCUAAGGCCCUGUAACUAGUCACUGGUCACUACCUCAGUUAUGGCUGUGAGCAGCUCCUGUCUCCAUGAUGAACUGUAUCCUCUGAACCAGGAGUCAGAAUAAAUCCUUCCUUGUU